CGGGGAAGAACUAACAAGGAUUCCCCUAGUAACUGCGAGUGAAGCGGGAAAAGCUCAAAUUUAAAAUCUGGCGGUCCUUGGCCGUCCGAGUUGUAAUCUAGAGAAGUGUUACCCGCGCUGGACCGUGUACAAGUCUCCUGGAAUGGAGCGUCAUAGAGGGUGAGAAUCCCGUCUCUGACACGGACUACCAGGGCUUUGUGGUAUGCUCUCAAAGAGUCGAGUUGUUUGGGAAUGCAGCUCAAAAUGGGUGGUAAAUUCCAUCUAAAGCUAAAUAUUGGCGAGAGACCGAUAGCGAACAAGUACCGUGAGGGAAAGAUGAAAAGAACUUUGGAAAGAGAGUUAAACAGUACGUGAAAUUGCUGAAAGGGAAACGCUUGAAGUCAGUCGCGUUGGCCGGGGAUCAGCCUUGCUUUUGCAUGGUGUACUUUCCGGUUGACGGGUCAGCAUCAAUUUUGACCGCUGGAAAAAGGCUUGGGGAAUGUGGCAGCUCCGGCUGUGUUAUAGCCCCUUGUCAUAUACAGCGGUUGGGAUUGAGGAACUCAGCACGCCGCAAGGCCGGGGUCAAACCACGUUCGUGCUUAGGAUGCUGGCAUAAUGGCUUUAAGCGACCCGUCUUGAAACACGGACCAAGGAGUCUAACAUGCCUGCGAGUGUUUGGGUGGAAAACCCGAGCGCGUAAUGAAAGUGAAAGUUGAGAUCCCUGUCGUGGGGAGCAUCGACACCCGGACCAGAACUUUUGGGACGGAUCCGCGGUAGAGCAUGUAUGUUGGGACCCGAAAGAUGGUGAACUAUGCCUGAAUAGGGUGAAGCCAGAGGAAACUCUGGUGGAGGCUCGUAGCGAUUCUGACGUGCAAAUCGAUCGUCAAAUUUGGGUAUAGGGGCGAAAGACUAAUCGAACCAUCUAGUAGCUGGUUCCUGCCGAUUUCCCCUUCUAGAGA
rnacentral:rRNA from 1 species